rnacentral:rRNA from 1 species
CGAAACUGGCAGGCUUGAGUCUUGUAGAGGGGGGUAGAAUUCCAGGUGUAGCGGUGAAAUGCGUAGAGAUCUGGAGGAAUACCGGUGGCGAAGGCGGCCCCCUGGACAAAGACUGACGCUCAGGUGCGAAAGCGUGGGGAGCAAACAGGAUUAGAUACCCUGGUAGUCCACGCCGUAAACGAUGUCUACUUGGAGGUUGUGCCCUUGAGGCGUGGCUUCCGGAGCUAACGCGUUAAGUAGACCGCCUGGGGAGUACGGCCGCAAGGUUAAAACUCAAAUGAAUUGACGGGGGCCCGCACAAGCGGUGGAGCAUGUGGUUUAAUUCGAUGCAACGCGAAGAACCUUACCUGGUCUUGACAUCCACAGAACUUUCCAGAGAUGGAUUGGUGCCUUCGGGAACUGUGAGACAGGUGCUGCAUGGCUGUCGUCAGCUCGUGUUGUGAAAUGUUGGGUUAAGUCCCGCAACGAGCGCAACCCUUAUCCUUUGUUGCCAGCGAUUAGG